rnacentral:rRNA from 1 species
CGCGUAGGCGGUCUGCUAAGCGUGUGGUGAAAGCCCGGGGCUCAACCCCGGGUCGGCCAUGCGAACUGGUGGACUCGAGCACUGUAGAGGCAGGUGGAAUUCCGGGUGUAGCGGUGGAAUGCGUAGAGAUCCGGAAGAACACCGGUGGCGAAGGCGGCCUGCUGGGCAGUAGCUGACGCUGAGGCGCGACAGCGUGGGGAGCAAACAGGAUUAGAUACCCGCGUA